rnacentral:rRNA from 1 species
UACGUAGGGUGGGAGCGUUAAUCGGAAUUACUGGGCGUAAAGCGUGCGCAGGCGGUUUUGUAAGCCAGAUGUGAAAUCCCCGGGCUUAACCUGGGAAUGGCAUUUGGGACUGCAAGGCUUGAGUGCGGCAGAGGAGACUGGAAUUCCUGGUGUAGCAGUGAAAUGCGUAGAUAUCAGGAGGAACACCGGUGGCGAAGGCGGGUCUCUGGGCCGUAACUGACGCUGAGGAGCGAAAGCGUGGGGAGCGAACAGG